UCUUACUUUAUCCUUAUUCCUGACCUUAAAUGUUUAAUAAUUCUUUACAUUUUCUGUUGGAAUUAAAGCUUGGAUGUGCUGCCUGAGAUUAAAAUUAAUUUAUCUCAAAUCAAGUUUAUUGAUUUAAAAUGUUUUAUUUUUGUUAAAUAUUGUGGUGGAUAAAGGAUGAAUGCUGAGUAUUAUUCACAUACCUUUAUCAUUUUAAUUUUAAACUUGGAUAUGCUGUGUCACAAACAGGAUGCUUCACCAGCUAGUAGAAAAAAUAUGUAUAUAUCUUUUUCUGGAUAGGUAUUUGGUGUUCCUCCAGUUGAGAUCUCCACUUCGUACCUUAGGCCCGUAAAUGGAUGAUGACAUUGAUGUUCGGCGGGAAUGCAUACUCAAGGGGCUGUGUGUGUACCUCAGUGAAGACCCGGAAAAAUGAGCGAGAGAAUACACUGCAGAAGACAAAGGCCUGAACCAAGGAGCCAUUGGGGAGACCAUGGUGGGAUUACGUGAGAUGCCACUGAUGGACCAGAGGACAUUGGGAUUUUCCUAGAAGGCCAGGUGGUUCUGCAUGAUCUGGACAACGUUGCCUUAGCUGCUGCCAUGUUGUUUGGACUAAUGUAUGCCUUGAACCUCAACUACCCUCCUGAACUUAAGUACUCUUAAUUCUAUUACUCUUUAAUUCCAGAACCCUUGCAGUUAAAGGAGCACAAUAACUUUCCAAGCACUGGAUUUACAUUUACCAGAGUGUAAUGAUUUCAUUACAUUUGUCUUUUUUGUUGUUAAGAGGUUGUAAAUGUAGUGGAUGUAUUUUGCACUUUUUUGCAUAAUUUCUGCAUUAAUCUGGCUGUAGUAUAAUUCCCUAUUGAUGCUGGUUUGAUGUCAUUCAGAAGGUUUUUAAUGACCUACAGUGUUGCCUCAGGUUGUAGCAGAAUGUUUACAAUGCAUUCUUGAUAACUUGGCUACCAAGUGGAAAAAGGUGAUUUGUUUUAAUGUGAGAAUGGUUUGUAUAUGUAUGCCUUUAUUUGUGUAUAAAUUGCAUUGAACCAA